rnacentral:rRNA from 1 species
AUGGGAGCUUGCUCCCUGAUGUUAGCGGCGGACGGGUGAGUAACACGUGGGUAACCUGCCUGUAAGACUGGGAUAACUCCGGGAAACCGGGGCUAAUACCGGAUGGUUGUUUGAACCGCAUGGUUCAAACAUAAAAGGUGGCUUCGGCUACCACUUACAGAUGGACCCGCGGCGCAUUAGCUAGUUGGUGAGGUAACGGCUCACCAAGGCAACGAUGCGUAGCCGACCUGAGAGGGUGAUCGGCCACACUGGGACUGAGACACGGCCCAGACUCCUACGGGAGGCAGCAGUAGGGAAUCUUCCGCAAUGGACGAAAGUCUGACGGAGCAACGCCGCGUGAGUGAUGAAGGUUUUCGGAUCGUAAAGCUCUGUUGUUAGGGAAGAACAAGUACCGUUCGAAUAGGGCGGUACCUUGACGGUACCUAACCAGAAAGCCACGGCUAACUACGUGCCAGCAGCCGCGGUAAUACGUAGGUGGCAAGCGUUGUCCGGAAUUAUUGGGCGUAAAGGGCUCGCAGGCGGUUUCUUAAGUCUGAUGUGAAAGCCCCCGGCUCAACCGGGGAGGGUCAUUGGAAACUGGGGAACUUGAGUGCAGAAGAGGAGAGUGGAAUUCCACGUGUAGCGGUGAAAUGCGUAGAGAUGUGGAGGAACACCAGUGGCGAAGGCGACUCUCUG